rnacentral:lncRNA from 1 species
AUGAUAAGUUCAGUCUACAACCCACUGGGGAUGUUCUCUCCAGUCGUAGUGCCUGCCAAAAACAUUCUCCAGGAAUUGUGCAGACUGAGAACAGGAUGGGACGAUGCUGUGCCAGACCAUCUCGCACAACACUGGUCAAGGUGGAUGGAAGAGCUUCAGCAGCUCACCAACUUUGGAGUGGACCGGUGCUUCAAACCACCAGAGUUUGGAGAAACAGUGGAGGCUCAACUACAUCACUUCAGUGACGCAAGUGAAACAGGCUACGGUGUUGUCACUUACCUGGUCCAGAAGAACAGCAGCAACCAAAUACACUGCUCAUUCAUCAUGGGGAAGGCAAGGGUUGCCCCUCUUAAACCCAUAACUAUCCCGCGGCUGGAGCUGACAGCGGCUACCUUAGCUGUUAAGGUGGACACCAUAAUAAAGAAAGAACUGCAGAUUCCACUGUCAGAUUCCAAGUUCUGGACAGACAGCACCGCUGUACUCAAGUACAUAGCAAAUGAGAAGAACAGAUUCAAGACAUUUGUGGUGAAUCGGAUCGCUAUGAUCUUACAAGCAUCAAGAGUGGGGCAAUGGAGCUACAUUAACUCACGGUUGAAUCCAGCUGACUACGCUUCCAGGGGUCAAAGGGUGAGUGUGUUCACACAGAACAAAGUAUGGAUCUCAGGGCCUGCUUUCCUCAGCAAGCCAGAAUCAGAAUGGCCAGACCAGUGUGUUCACUUGGAGGAGCUUACAGUGGUAGAUCCUGAGGCCAAGAAAGGCAUACUCGUUAACGCUACUACAGUAGAAGAAAACACUGAUGUAAUGCAACAACUAACAGAACACUUCUCUUCCUGGAUACGGCUAAAAAAGGCGGUGGCAUGGCUCGCUCGAGUCAAAGGGACGCUGGUGAACCUGUCAAAGAAGAGAAAGGAAAUGAAUGAAUCAUACAAGGACCAAGAACAAGUGAACAAAGAAAUGACAAGCUAUAAGAGGAGUCUCAAACAGACUUACCUGACUCUGGACGAUCUGCGACAAGCUGACCUGGAUAUCAUCCGUCAUUGUCAGCAAAGGAAGAGGAAAUGUCUGCUCUUCAGAGAAAAGGAAUGCAACUUCUUGCUAGCGUUAGACUGA